CAUGUCCUACGGGGGGCAGCAGUGAGGAAUAUUGGUCAAUGGCCGGAAGGCUGAACCAGCCAAGCCGCGUGAAGGACGAAGGGGCCAAGCAUUGUAAACUUCUUUUGUCAAGGGACAAAAUCAGGCUCGAGAGCCUGACCGAGGGUACUUGAAGAAAAAGCAUCGGCUAACUCCGUGCCAGCAGCCGCGGUAAUACGGAGGAUGCGAGCGUUAUCCGGAUUUAUUGGGAUUAAAGGGUGCGUAGGCGGACUGGUAAGUCAGCGGUAAAAGCACGGG
rnacentral:rRNA from 1 species